GACGAACGCUGGCGGCGUGCUUAACACAUGCAAGUCGAACGGAAAGGCCCUACUUUUGUGGGGUGCUCGAGUGGCGAACGGGUGAGUAACACGUGAGUAACCUGCCCUUGACUUUGGGAUAACUUCAGGAAACUGGGGCUAAUACCGGAUAGGAGCUCCUGCUGCAUGGUGGGGGUUGGAAAGUUUCGGCGGUUGGGGAUGGACUCGCGGCUUAUCAGCUUGUUGGUGGGGUAGUGGCUUACCAAGGCUUUGACGGGUAGCCGGCCUGAGAGGGUGACCGGCCACAUUGGGACGGGGAUACGGCCCGGACUCCUACGGGGGGCAGCGGUGGGGAAUAUUGCACAAUGGGCGGAGGCCGGAUGCAGCAACGCCGGGUGCGGGAUGACGGCCUUCGGGUUGUAAACCGCUUUCGCCUGUAACGAGGCGUGAGUGACGGAAAUGGGCAAAGAAGCACCGGCAAACUACGG
rnacentral:rRNA from 1 species